ensembl:lncRNA
CUUUGGGAAACGUAAAGCGCACUUUCAGCAUUCAAGGUAAAAUUCUGACACACAGGAGUAUGGUAAUAUACGAAGAGUGUGAGUUAAUGAGUUAAUGAGACCGUUUUCCAGAGCUGACGGUGACUCAGGAAGAGCUGAAGGAUUGUGGGAAGCAGAAGAAGCUGUGUGUGACGUCUAUCGCGGACUGUCUCUAUACAGCAUCAGACGGAGCUCCUCGAGUUCCCAGAACAUCUGAGAACUUCCUGAACACAUCAUGCCACUAUCUGAUGCAAGAGGAGUCGUUGACCUGCAGAUGGGCUCAGACAAACCACAUCAGAUCACAAACCAUCAGCAGCUUAAUUUUCAGCCAGUAAACGUGUCUGACGAGUGUCAUCAGUACUGCUGCUGAUAAUAAUAAUGAAUAAACGCCUCUAUGAAUCCACCUGUUAAUGUAGUUUUUGUUUCACAGAGCUGAGGACUUCCACCACUGUCCCUCUAUUUUAAAAAUAUAUUCAACUUUCAAUUUAACCAUCAAGUCAAAGAGUGUCUUCAGCCAGAAAGAGCAGUUCUCUGACGUCUAUCUGCUGGUCAUUCGGGAUAUAAUCCAGGCUCCUCGGCCGCUGAUCUCGUCUGUUAACGUCACUGAUUCGUCAAUCAACGUCACAUGGACCAGCGGGAAAAUACCAGUCACUAAAUGCAAAAUCCGUUACAAACGUCUCAACACAGAGUCAUGGGCCGAGGUCAGAAAUGACAGAACAUGCUUGAAAUUUAUUUAUUUUUUUUUAUUAAUUAAUUUUCAUUUUA